CCUACGGGAGGCAGCAGUGAGGAAUAUUGGUCAAUGGACGCAAGUCUGAACCAGCCAUGCCGCGUGCAGGAAGACGGCUCUAUGAGUUGUAAACUGCUUUUGUACGAGGGUAAACGCAGAUACGCGUAUCUGUCUGAAAGUAUCGUACGAAUAAGGAUCGGCUAACUCCGUGCCAGCAGCCGCGGUAAUACGGAGGAUUCAAGCGUUAUCCGGAUUUAUUGGGUUUAAAGGGUGCGUAGGCGGUCGGAUAAGUUAGAGGUGAAAUCCCGAGGCUCAACUUCGGAAUUGCCUCUGAUACUGGUCGGCUAGAGAGUAGUGACGGUAGGCGGAAUGUAUGGUGUAGCGGUGAAAUGCUUAGAGAUCAUACAGAACACCGAUUGCGAAGGCAGCUUACCA
rnacentral:rRNA from 1 species